CUCAUGGUUUCACGGUAUUGCAAUGAGAACAAUUUAAAACCCUUAGCGAGAAUCAAGUGGAGGACAAGUCUGGUGCCAGCACCCGCGGUAAUUCCAGCUCCACUAGCGUAUAUUAAAGUUGUUGCAGUUAAAAAGCUCGUAGUUGAACCUCUGUCUGGGGCUAGUUUUGGCUUUGGUCAGGCUAGUUCUAGGCAUCCGCCUACAAGACUUAGAGGGCAUUCAGUUGUUCACUAGGAGGAGUAGGCAUUUUACUUUGAAAAAAUUAGAGUGUUUAAGGCAGGCAAUCGCCCGCAUAUAUUAGCAUGGAAUAAUAGAAUAGGACACUUUUCCAUUUCGUUGGUUAUUGGAAUCGUGUAAUGAUUAAUAGGGACAGUUGUGGGCAUUUGUAUUUAAUUGUCAGAGGUGAAAUUCUUGGAUUUAUUAAAGACAAACUAACGCGAAAGCAUUUGCCAAGGAUGUUUUCAUUAAUCAAGAACGAAAGUUAGGGGAUCAAAGACGAUCAGAUACCGUCCUAGUCUAACUAUAAACUAUUCCGACUCAAUGUUUGACUGGCUUAUAUAACCAGUUGAGCGUUGUAUGAGAAAUCAAAGUCUUUAGGUUCUGGGGGGAGUAUGGUUGCAAAGCUGAAACUUAAAGGAAUCGACGGAAGAGCACAACCAGGAGUGGAUUCUGCGGCUUAAUUUGACUCAACACGGGGAAACUUACCAGGUUAAAACAAUAGUGGGAUUGACAGUUUGAGAGCGCUUUCUUGAUUGGUUGGGUGGUGGUGCAUGGCCGUUCUUAGUUGGUGGAGUGAUUUGUCUGCUUAAUUGCGUUAACGAACGAGACCUUAACCUGCUUACUAGACUGGCGAUCAUCAAUCGUUAGCUCUUCUUAGAGGGACUUUGGUUGUUUUAACUCCAAGGAAGUUUGAGGCAAUAACAGGUCUGUGAUGCCCUUAGAUAUCCUGGGCCGCACGCGUCAUACAAUGACUAGUUCAGAAAGUUUUCUCCUGACCCGAAAGGGGAUGGGUAAUCUUGAUAAUACUAGUCGUGUUAGGGAUCGAUCUUUGCAAUUAUAGAUCUUGAACGAGGAAUUCCUAGUAAGUGCGGUUCAUCAGACCGUACUGAUUACGUCCCUGCUCUUUGUACACACCGCCCGUCGCUUCUACCGAGUGGGUGGUCCGGUGAGAUAAUUGAACUUCGCAGGUAACUGAGAGGAAAGAUUAUCAAACCUAUCCACCU
rnacentral:rRNA from 1 species